rnacentral:rRNA from 1 species
GAUGAACGCUGGCGGCGUGCCUAAUACAUGCAAGUCGAGCGAACAGAUAAGGAGCUUGCUCCUUUGACGUUAGCGGCGGACGGGUGAGUUACACGUGGAUAACCUACCUCUAAGACUGGGAUAACUUCGGGAAACCGGAGCUAAUACCGGAUAACAUAUUGAACCGCAUGGUUCAAUAGUGAAAGGCGGCUUUGCUGUCACUUAUAGAUGGAUCCGCGCCGUAUUAGCUAGUUGGUACGGUAACGGCUUACCAAGGCAACGAUACGUAGCCGACCUGAGAGGGUGAACGGCCACACUGGAGCUGAGCCACGGUCCAGACUCCUACGGGAGGCAGAAGUAGGGAAUCUUCCGCGAUGGGCGGAAGCCUGACGGAGCAACGCCGCGUGAGUGAUGAAGGUCUUCGGAUCGUAAAACUCUGUUAUCAGGGAAGAACAAAUGUGUAAGUAACUGUGCACAUCUUGACGGUACCUGAAUAGAAAGCCACGGCUAACUACGUG